rnacentral:rRNA from 1 species
GACAGAGGGUGCAAACGUUGUUCGGAAUUACUGGGCGUAAAAGCGAGUGUAGGCGGUUUGGUAAGUCGGAUGUGAAAGCCCCGGGCUCAACCCGGGAAGUGCACUCGAUACUGCCAAGCUAGAGUAUCGGAGAGGUUGGUGGAAUUCUCGGUGUAGAGGUGAAAUUCGUAGAUAUCGAGAGGAACACCGGUGGCGAAGGCGGCCAACUGGACGAAUACUGACGCUGAGACUCGAAAGCGUGGGGAGCAAACAGG